AUGUGAAGACGCCCUUCUGCUCUAUCAGGCAUCCCAGCCAAGCUUCAACUGACAGAUCCAAACUCUCUGACAAGCCACGAUAAGAGCCGCCACCCUGCUCCACUCUCUACAACGGAUUCCAUGCAGCUCCACCACUCUCUGGCAAGUCACGACAACGGACACCACUUCACUCUCCGUAGCAAGCUCCACGUGGCCUUAGGUGACCUUUGACGCCACUACUCUCC
rnacentral:lncRNA from 1 species